GACGAACGCUGGCGGCGUGCUUAACACAUGCAAGUCGAACGGAAAGGCCCUGCUUUUGUGGGGUGCUCGAGUGGCGAACGGGUGAGUAACACGUGAGUAACCUGCCCUUGACUUUGGGAUAACUUCAGGAAACUGGGGCUAAUACCGGAUAGGAGCUCCUGCUGCAUGGUGUGGGUUGGAAAGUUUCGGCGGUUGGGUCUGUACUCGCGGCUUAUCAGCUGGUUUGUGGGGUAGUGGCUUACCAAGGCUUUGACGGGUAGCCGGCCUGAGAGGGUGACCGGCCACAUGGGGACUGAGAGAGGGACCAGAAUCCUACGGGAGGCAGCAGUGGGGAAUAUUGCACAAUGGGCGGAAGCCUGAUGCAGCAACGCCGCGUGCGGGAUGACGGCCUUCGGGUUGUAAACCGAUUUCGCCUGUGACGAAGCGUGAGUGACGGUAAUGGGUAAAGAAGCACCGGCUAACUACGUG
rnacentral:rRNA from 1 species